AUGCUACUCCCUGCCCUCCUCUUUGGGAUGGCGUGGGCCCUGGCUGACGGAACAGAGACCAUCCGUGUGGAGGAGGAAUUAGCACCCCGUCAGGAGGACCUGGUACCCUGUGCCAGCCUUGACCAUUACAGCCGCCUGGGCUGGCGGCUGGACCUGCCCUGGAGUGGCCGCUCGGGGCUUACCCGGUCCCCAGCGCCUGGGCUCUGUCCUAUCUACAAACCUCCAGAAACCCGGCCUGCCAAGUGGAACCGGACAGUGAGGGCUUGUUGCCCAGGCUGGGGGGGCGCCCACUGCACUGAGGCCCUUGCCAAAGCCAGUCCUGAAGGCCACUGCUUUGCCAUGUGGCAGUGCCAGCUACAGGCAGGCUCAGCUAAUGCCUCAGCAGGAAGCCUGGAGGAGUGCUGCGCCCGGCCCUGGGGACGAAGCUGGUGGGAUGGCAGCUCCCAGGCCUGCCUCAGCUGCUCCAGCCGACACCUGCCAGGCAGUGCCUCUUCUCCAGCCCUCCUGCAGCCCCUGGCAGGGGCUGUGGGCCAGCUCUGGAGCCAGCACCAGCGUCCCUCGGCCACCUGUGCCUCCUGGUCGGGCUUCCACUACCGCACCUUUGAUGGCCGCCACUAUCACUUCCUGGGCCGCUGCACCUACCUGCUGGCGGGUGCUGCGGACUCCACCUGGGCUGUCCACCUAACACCCGGGGACCGCUGCCCCCAGCCUGGACACUGUGAGCGGGUCCAGGUGACUAUGGGACCUGAGGAGGUGCUGAUCCAGGCUGGAAAUGUGUCUGUGAAGGGGCAGCUGGUACCUGAAGGGCAGUCUUGGCUGCUCCACGGGCUGAGCCUGCAAUGGCUGGGGGACUGGCUGGUGCUGUCAGGGGGCCUGGGGGUCGUGGUGCGGCUGGACAGGACUGGCUCCAUCUCCAUCUCUGUGGACCACGAGCUCUGGGGACAGACACAAGGCCUCUGUGGGCUCUACAAUGGCUGGCCAGAGGAUGACUUCAUGGAGCCAGGCGGAGGGCUGGCCAUGUUAGCAGCCACCUUUGGAAAUUCCUGGAGGCUCCCUGGCUCGGAGCCUGGGUGUCUGGAUGCAGUGGAGGUGGCCCAGGGCUGUGACGGCCCCCUGGGGCUCACAGACGCAGAUGUAGAACCUGGCCACCUGCGGGCUGAAGCCCAGGACGUGUGCCAUCAGCUGCUGGAAGGUCCAUUCGGGCAGUGCCAUGCCCAGGUUUCCCCUGCUGAGUACCACGAGGCCUGUCUCUUUGCCUACUGCGCAGGGGCCAUGGCAGGCAGUGGGCAAGAGGGGUGGCAGCAGGCUGUUUGUGCCACCUUUGCCAGCUAUGUCCAGGCCUGUGCCAGGCGGCACAUCCACAUUCGCUGGAGGAAGCCUGGCUUCUGCGAGCGCCUGUGCCCCGGGGGCCAGCUCUACUCCGACUGCGUCUCCCUCUGCCCACCCAGCUGCGAGGCGGUGGGUCAGGGAGAGGAGGAGUCCUGCAGGGAAGAGUGUGUGAGUGGCUGUGAGUGCCCGCGAGGCCUCUUCUGGAAUGGCACCCUCUGUGUGCCUGCUGCCCACUGCCCCUGCUACUACCGCCGCCAGCGCUAUGCACCCGGUGACACCGUGCGCCAGCUGUGUAACCCCUGCGUGUGCAGGGAUGGCCGCUGGCACUGUGCCCAGGCCCUGUGCCCCGCCGAGUGUGCCGUGGGUGGGGACGGGCACUACCUCACCUUCGAUGGGCGGAGCUACUCCUUCCGGGGUGGUCAAGGUUGCCGCUACAGCCUGGUGCAGGACUAUGUGAAGGGACAGCUACUGAUCCUACUGGAGCAUGGGGCCUGCAACGCUGGGAGCUGCCUCCACGCCAUCUCCGUCUCCCUGGAGGACACCCACAUCCAGCUCAGGGACUCAGGAGCUGUGCUGGUCAAUGGGCAGGAUGUGGACUUGCCCUGGAUUGGCGCUGAGGGCCUCAGUGUGCGCCGAGCUUCCUCUGCCUUUCUGCUGCUGCGCUGGCCUGGGGCCCAGGUGCUCUGGGGACUGUCUGACCCUGCAGCCUACAUCACCCUGGACCCCCGCCAUGCCCACCAGGUGCAGGGUCUGUGUGGUACCUUCACCCAGAACCAGCAGGACGACUUCCUGACACCAGCCGGAGAUGUGGAAACUAGCAUUGCUGCCUUUGCUAGCAAGUUCCAGGUGGCCGGCAAGGGAAGAUGCCCCUCUGGGGACAGUGCCCUGCUGUCUCCCUGCACCACCCACUCCCAGCGCCACGCCUUCGCAGAGGCAGCCUGUGCCAUCCUGCACAGCUCUGUCUUCCAGGAAUGCCACAGGCUGGUGGACAAAGAGCCAUUCUAUCUGCGCUGCCUGGCAGCCGUGUGUGGCUGUGAUCCCGGCAGUGACUGCCUGUGCCCGGUGCUGUCUGCCUAUGCGCGUCGCUGUGCCCAGGAAGGUGCCUCACCUCCCUGGAGGAACCAGACCCUCUGCCCUGUUAUGUGUCCUGGUGGCCAGGAGUACCGAGAGUGUGCCCCAGCAUGCGGUCAACACUGCGGGGAACCAGAGGACUGUGGAGAGCUGGGCAGCUGUGUGGCUGGUUGUAACUGUCCUCUGGGGCUGCUGUGGGACCCUGAGGGCCAGUGUGUGCCCCCCAGCUUGUGCUCUUGCCAGCUCGGAGCCCGUCGCUAUGCCCCUGGCAGUGCCACCAUGAAGGAGUGCAACCGCUGCAUCUGCCAGGAAAGGGGCCUCUGGAAUUGCACAGCUCGCCACUGCCCUUCACAGCGGGCAUUCUGCCCCAGGGAGCUUGUCUAUGCCCCUGGUGCCUGUCUCCUCACCUGUGACAGCCCCAGCGCCAAUCACUCCUGCCCUGCAGGCAGUACUGAUGGCUGUGUCUGUCCACCAGGCACGGUGCUGCUGGACGAGCGCUGUGUGCCUCCUGACCUCUGUCCCUGCUGUCACAGUGGGCAGUGGUACCUGCCCAAUGCCACCAUCCAGGAAGACUGCAACGUUUGCGUGUGCCAGGGCCGGCAGUGGCACUGCACAGGCCAGCGGUGCAGUGGGCGGUGCCAGGCAUCAGGCGCCCCCCACUAUGUGACAUUUGACGGACUGGCCUUCACCUAUCCUGGGGCCUGCGAGUAUCUGCUGGUGGGAGAGGCCAGUGGCCUAUUCACAGUCUCUGCCCAGAACCUGCCCUGUGGGGCCAGCGGUCUCACCUGCACCAAAGCGCUGGCCGUGCGUCUGGAGGGCACUGUUGUGCACAUCCUCAGAGGCCGGGCAGUGACGGUGAAUGGGGUGAGCGUGACGCCCCCCAAGGUCUACACAGGCCCCGGGCUGAGCCUGCGUCGUGCUGGCCUCUUCCUGCUGCUCUCCACCCGCCUGGGCCUCACCCUGCUCUGGGGUGGAGGGACUCAGGUCCUGGUGCAACUGUCCCCUCAGUUCCGUGGUCGCGUGGCUGGGCUGUGUGGUGACUUUGAUGGAGAUGCCAGUAAUGAUCUGCGGAGCCGCCAGGGCGUCCUGGAGCCCACAGCUGAACUGGCCGCCCACUCCUGGCGCCUCAGCCCCCUCUGUCCUGAGCCAGGAGACCUGCCACACCCCUGCACGAUGAACGCACAUUGGGCUGGUUGGGCUCGGGCCCGCUGUGGGGCGCUGCUGCAGCCGCUCUUCGCAUCAUGCCACGCGGAAGUCCCCCCACAGCAGCACUAUGAGUGGUGCCUGUAUGACGCCUGUGGCUGCAACUCAGGGGGUGACUGUGAGUGCCUCUGCUCGGCCAUUGCCACCUAUGCAGAUAAGUGUGCCCGGCAUGGGCACCACGUGCGCUGGCGUAGCCAGGAGCUCUGCCCCCUGCAGUGUGAAGGGGGACAGGUAUAUGAGGCCUGUGGCCCCACAUGUCCCCCCACCUGCCAUGAGCAGCAUCCUGCGCCCGGGUGGCACUGCCAGGUGGUGGCCUGUGUGGAGGGCUGCUUCUGCCCCGAGGGGACUCUGCUGCACGGAGGAGCCUGCUUGGAGCCAGCUUCCUGCCCCUGUGAGUGGGGCCGCAACUCCUUCCCGCCGGGGUCUGUGCUGCAAAAGGACUGCGGGAACUGCACGUGCCAGGAAGGUCAAUGGCAUUGUGGGGGUGACAGUGGCCACUGUGAGGGGCUUGUGCCUGCCUGUGCAGAGGGAGAGGCCCUGUGCCAAGAGAAUGGGCACUGUGUGCCCCAUGGGUGGCUCUGUGACAACCAGGACGACUGUGGCGAUGGCUCUGAUGAGGAGGGUUGUGCCGCCCCAGGCUGUGGGGAGGGGCAGAUGACUUGCAGCUCCGGCCACUGCCUGCCCCUGGCCCUGCUCUGUGACGGCCAGGAUGACUGUGGAGAUGGCACGGAUGAGCAGAGCUGUCCGUGCCCCCAGGGCUUGCUGGCCUGUGCCGAUGGACGCUGCCUGCCGCCGGCCCUGCUCUGCGAUGGGCAUCCUGUCUGUCCGGACGCCGCCGAUGAGGAGUCCUGUCUGGGGCAGGUGACCUGCGUCCCCGGGGAGGUGUCCUGUGUCGAUGGCACCUGCCUGGGGGCCAUCCAGCUGUGUGACGGAGUCUGGGACUGCCCAGAUGGAGCCGAUGAGGGGCCGGGACACUGCCCCCUACCUUCUCUGCCCACGCCUCCUGCCAGCACCUUGCCUGGCCCCUCCCCUGGCUCCCUGGACACUGCGUCAAGUCCUCUGGCCAGCGCCAGCCCUGCGCCACCCUGCGGCCCCUUCGAGUUUCGGUGCGGCAGCGGCGAGUGCACCCCGCGGGGCUGGCGCUGCGACCAGAAGGAAGACUGCGCCGACGGCAGCGACGAGCGCGGCUGCGGAGGGCCCUGCGCGCCGCACCACGCGCCCUGCGCCCGCGGCCCUCACUGCGUGUCCCCCGAGCAGCUGUGCGACGGCGUGCGGCAGUGUCCCGACGGCUCGGACGAGGGCCCCGACGCCUGCGGCUCCACCCAGCUGCCUCCGUGCCCUGGCCUCUUUCCCUGUGGUGUGGCUCCGGGGCUGUGCCUGACCCCUGAGCAGCUCUGUGAUGGGAUCCCAGACUGUCCCCACGGCGAGGACGAGCUGGACUGCGGGGGGCUGCCAGCCCUGGGAGGCCCCAACAGGACAGGGCUUCCCUGCCCAGAAUACACCUGCCCCAAUGGCACCUGCAUAGGCUUCCAGCUGGUGUGUGAUGGGCAGCCUGACUGUGGAAGGCCAGGGCAGGUGGGCCCCUCCCCAGAAGAGCAGGGUUGUGGGGCCUGGGGCCCCUGGAGCCCAUGGGGGCCCUGCAGCCGGACGUGUGGGCCCAGGGGCCAGGGCCGGAGCCGCCGCUGCUCCCCACUCGGCCUCCUGGUGCUACAGAACUGCCCAGGGCCUGAGCACCAGUCUCAGGCCUGCUUCACGGCAGCCUGCCCAGUGGACGGUGAAUGGAGCGCCUGGUCCCCCGGUCUGUGUGCUCUGAGCCGUGCAGGGGCACCAUGACGCGGCAACGGCAGUGCCACCCACCCCAGAAUGGGGGCCGCACCUGUGCUGCACUGCCCGGAGGCCCGCACAGCACCCGCCAGACCAAGCCUUGCCCUCAGGACGGCUGCCCCAAUGCCACCUGCUCUGGGGAGCUGAUGUUCCAGCCCUGUGCCCCCUGCCCACUGACCUGUGAUGACAUAUCUGGCCAGGUCACGUGCCCACCUGAUCGGCCCUGCGGCAGCCCGGGCUGCUGGUGCCCAGAAGGGCAGGUGCUGGGCAGCGAGGGGUGGUGUGUGUGGCCCCGGCAGUGCCCCUGCCUGGUGGACGGUGCCCGCUACUGGCCCGGGCAACGCAUCAAGGCCGACUGCCGGCUCUGCAUCUGCCAAGACGGAUGGCCCCGACGCUGCCGACUCAACCCGGACUGCGCUGUGGACUGUGGCUGGUCCUCCUGGUCACCCUGGGCUGAGUGCCUGGGCCCCUGUGGAAGCCAGAGCAUCCAGUGGUCCUUCCGGAGCCCCAACAACCCCCGCCCCUCCGGCCGAGGUCGCCAGUGCCGUGGCAUCCACCGCAAGGCACGCAGGUGCCAGACGGAGCCCUGUGAGGGGUGUGAGCAUCAGGGCCAGGUCCACCGUGUCGGGGAACGCUGGCGUGGGGGCCCCUGCAGGGUGUGCCAGUGUCUGCACAACCUCACCGCACGCUGCUCACCCUACUGCCCGCUCGGCAGCUGCCCCCAGGGCUGAGUCUUGGUGGAGGGGACGAGAGAAUCAUGCUGCCACUGUGCCCUACCUGGAGAGAACCAGAUGGUCCAGCCCAUGGCCACUCCUGCCGCAGCUCCGGCUCCCAGUCCCCAGAUCAGAUUCCCUUUGGCCACUUACAUUCUGCCUCCGCCAGGAGUCCCCUGCUAUUUUCCCCUGGGGCUGGCGGGACUGGCUGAGGGGAGUCUGCAUGCAUCGUCCCAGCAGCUGGAACACCCCACCCAGGCUGCCCUCCUGGGGGCUCCCACCCAGGGGCCCAGCCCUCAGGGAUGGCACGCUGGAGGGGAUGCUUAUGCCAAGUGGCACACUCGGCCCCAUUACCUGCAGCUGGACCUGCUUCAGCCUCGGAACCUCACUGGCAUCAUAGUGCCGGAGGCUGGCUCCUCCAACGCAUAUGCCAGCAGCUUCUCACUCCAGUUCAGCAGCAAUGGUCUACACUGGCAUGACUAUUGUGACCUCCUGCCUGGCAUCUUGCCCCUGCCCAAGCUUUUCCCCAGAAACUGGGAUGACCUGGACCCUGCCGUAUGGACUUUCGGCCGCAUGGUGCAGGCGAGGUUUGUCAGGGUGUGGCCCCACGAUGUCCACCACAGCGAUGUCCCCCUGCAGGUGGAGCUGCUGGGCUGCGAGCCAGGGUCCCCACCGGCACCUCUGUGCCCAGGGGUUGGAUUCCGCUGUGCCAGUGGUGAGUGUGUCCUGAGAGGGGGCCCAUGUGACGGUGCUCUGGACUGCGAGGAUGGCUCGGAUGAGGAGGGCUGUGUGUUGCUGCCUGAGGGCACUGGCAGAUUCCAUUCCACAGCCAAGACCCUGGCCCUCUCCUCUGCCCAGCCGGGGCAGCUGCUGCACUGGCCCAGGGAGGGCCUGGUAGAGACUGAGCACUGGCCUCCCGGGCAGGAAUCCCCCACGUCCCCGACAGAGACAAGGCCCGUGAGUCCUGGCCCAGCCUCCGGGGUGCCUCACCAUGGGGAAUCUAUGCAGAUGGUGACCACCACCCCCAUACCCCAGAUGGAGGCCAGGACCCUGCCACCAGGUAUGGCAGCUGUGACGGUGCUGCCCCCACACCCUGUGACUCCAGCGACCCCUGCUGGCCAGAGCGUCGCCCCAGGACCCUUCCCACCUGUGCAGUGUGGCCCCGGCCAGACGCCCUGUGAGGUGCUGGGCUGCGUGGAACAGGCGCAGGUGUGUGAUGGCAGGGAGGAUUGCCUCGACGGCUGCGCGAGCACUGUGCCCUUCAUGGUGCCUACCACGGCCCUGCCUGGGCUUCCAGCCUCAAGGGCCCUCUGUUUCCCGAGCCAGCUGAGCUGUGGCAGCGGGGAGUGUCUGUCUGCUGAGCGGCGCUGUGACCUGCAGCCUGACUGCCAGGAUGGCUCGGACGAGGAUGGCUGUGUGGACUGCGUGCUGGGCCCCUGGUCUGUCUGGAGCAGCUGCAGCCGCAGCUGUGGCCUGGGCCUCACCUUCCAGCGCCAGGAGCUGCUGCGGCCUCCUCUGCCAGGGGGCAGCUGCCCGCGUGACCGGUUCCGAAGCCAGUCCUGCUUUGUGCAGGCCUGCCCAGUGGCUGGGGCAUGGGCCAUGUGGGAGGCCUGGGGACCCUGCAGCGUCUCCUGCGGGGGUGGCCAUCAGAGUCGCCAGAGAAGCUGUGUGGACCCCCCACCCAAGAAUGGCGGUGCCCCCUGCCCUGGGGCCUCCCAAGAGAGGGCACCCUGCGGCUUGCAGCCCUGCUCAGGUGGCACAGACUGCGAGCUGGGCCGUGUGUAUGUGAGUGCCGAUCUGUGCCAGAAGGGGCUGGUGCCCCCAUGCCCACCCUCCUGCCUGGAUCCCAAGGCCAACAGAAGCUGCAGUGGGCAUUGUGUGGAAGGAUGCCGCUGUCUCCCGGGGCUCCUUCUGCAUGACACUCGCUGCCUGCCCCUCUCUGAGUGCCCCUGCCUGGUGGGCGAAGAGCUGAAGUGGCCAGGGGUGUCCUUCCUCCUGGGCAACUGCAGCCAAUGCGUGUGUGAGAAGGGGGAGUUGCUGUGCCAACCAGGGGGCUGCCCCCUGCCCUACGGCUGGUCAGCCUGGUCCUCCUGGGCUCCCUGCGACCGCUCCUGUGGCUCUGGAGUGAGGGCCAGGUUCAGGUCUCCCUCCAACCCUCCGGCAGCCUGGGGGGGUGCCCCGUGUGAAGGUGACCGGCAGGAACUGCAGGGCUGCCACACAGUGUGUGGGACAGAGGUGUUGGGCUGGACACCCUGGACUUCCUGGUCCUCCUGCUCCCAAAGCUGCCUUGCCCCGGGAGGGGGCCCUGGCUGGCGCAGUCGUUCCCGACUCUGCCCCAGCCCUGGGGAUUCAUCCUGCCCAGGAGACGCCACCCAGGAGGAGCCCUGCAGCCCCCCUGUACGCCCAGUGCCAAGUGUCUGGGGUCUGUGGGCUCCCUGGUCCACUUGCUCAGCCCCCUGUGAUGGAGGCAUCCAGACACGCGGGUGCAGCUGCUCCAGCUUGGCUCCAGGGGACACCACGUGCCCAGGACCCCACAGUCAGACCAGGGACUGCAACACGCAGCCCUGCACAGCCCAGUGCCCAGAGAACAUGGUGUUCCGCUCAGCAGAGCAGUGUCACCAGGAGGGGGGUCCUUGCCCUCGGCUAUGCCUGACGCAGGGCCCCGGGAUAGAGUGUACGGGCUUCUGCGCCCCCGGCUGCACCUGCCCCUGCCCCGCUGGUCUCUUCCUGCACAAUGCUAGCUGCCUGCCCCGCAGCCAGUGCCCCUGCCAGCUGCACGGGCAGCUCUAUGCAUCAGGAGCAAUGGCUCGCCUGGACUCCUGCAACAACUGCACCUGUGUCUCCGGUGAGAUGGCAUGCACCUCGGAGCGCUGCCCAGUGGCCUGUGGCUGGAGUCCCUGGACCCCGUGGAGUCUCUGUAGCCGCAGCUGCAAUGUGGGCAUUCGGCGCCGCUUCCGGGCAGGCACUGCACCCCCAGCUGCCUUUGGGGGUGCUGAGUGCCAAGGCCCCACCAUGGAGGCUGAAUUCUGCAGCCUGCGGCCAUGUCCAGGUCCUGGUGGGGAGUGGGGCCCUUGGUCUCCGUGCUCUGUGCCCUGUGGUGGUGGCUACAGGAACCGCACCCGAGGCAGCGGCCUGCGCAGCCUCAUGGAGUUUUCCACCUGUGGCCUGCAGCCCUGCGCAGGGCCAGUGCCUGGCGUGUGUCCCAGGGACAAGCAGUGGCUGGACUGUGCCCAGGGCCCUGCCUCUUGUGCAGAGCUCAGCGCCCCAGGAGGGACUAACCAGACCUGCCACCCUGGCUGCCACUGCCCCUCUGGGAUGCUUCUGCUGAACAACGUGUGUGUGCCCACCCAGGACUGCCCCUGUGCCCACGAGGGGCACCUCUACCCCCCGGGCAGCACUGUGGUUCGUCCAUGUGAAAACUGCUCCUGUGUCUCCGGGCUCAUCGCCAACUGCAGCUCCUGGCCUUGUGCGGAGGGUGAGCCCACGUGGUCACCCUGGACCCCUUGGAGCCAGUGUUCAGCGUCCUGCGGCCCUGCCCGGCGCCAUUGGCACCGGUUCUGUGCCAGGUCCCCCAGUGCAGUGCCAUCCACCGUGGCUCCGCUGCCCCUGCCAGCCACCCCCACACCUCUCUGCUCAGGCCCCAAGGCUGAAGAGGAGCCAUGUCUCCUGCAGGGGUGUGAUCGAGCUGGGGGAUGGGGUCCAUGGGGGCCCUGGUCCCACUGUAGCCGGAGCUGUGGGGGAGGCCUGCGGAGCCGGACCCGGGCCUGUGACCAGCCCCCACCCCAGGGCCUCGGGGAUUACUGCGAGGGGCCACGGGCACAGGGGGAGGUCUGCCAGGCUCUGCCCUGCCCAGUGACCAACUGCACCGCCAUUGAAGGGGCCGAGUAUAGCCCCUGUGGCCCUCCGUGCCCUCGCUCCUGUGAUGACCUAAUGCACUGCGUGUGGCGCUGCCAGCCUGGCUGCUACUGCCCACCAGGCCAGGUACUGAGUUCCAGUGGGGCCAUCUGCGUGCAGCUGGGUCACUGCAGCUGCCUGGACCUGCUGACCGGGCAGCGGCACCAUCCGGGUGCUCGGCUGGCAAGGCCUGAUGGCUGCAACCACUGCACCUGCCUGGAGGGGAGGCUGAACUGCACAGACCUGCCCUGCCCAGUGCCCGGAGGCUGGUGCCCGUGGUCGGAGUGGACAAUGUGCUCCCAGCCCUGCAGGGGCCAGACCAGGAGCCGCUCCAGGGCCUGUGCCUGCCCCACUCCUCAGCACGGUGGUGCCCCGUGCACUGGAGAGGCUGGGGAGGCAGGGGCCCAGCAUCAGAGGGAGGCCUGCCCCAGCUACGCCACGUGCCCAGUGGACAGAGCCUGGGGCCCAUGGGGGCCAUGGUCUCCCUGCGACAUGUGCUUGGGGCAGUCCCACCGGAGCCGGGCGUGCAGCCGGCCCCCCACCCCUGAGGGAGGGAGGCCCUGCCCUGGGAGCCACAUGCAGAGUCGCCCUUGCCAGGAAAAUUCCACCCAGUGCACAGACUGCAGGGGUGGCCAGAGUCUGCACCCCUGUGGGCAGCCCUGCCCUCGCUCCUGCCAGGACCUGUCCUCUGGGAGUGUGUGCCAGCCAGGCUCUGUGGGCUGCCAGCCCAGUUGUGGGUGCCCCCUGGGCCAGCUCUCCCAGGACGGGCUGUGCGUGCCCCCAGACCACUGCCGCUGCCAGUACCAGCCUGGAGCCAUGGGGAUCCCUGAGAACCAGAGCCGCUCAGCAGGGUCUAGGUUUAGCUCCUGGGAGAGCCUGGAACCCGGAGAGGUGGUCACUGGGCCAUGUGACAACUGCACCUGUGUGGCAGGCAUUCUGCAAUGCCAGGAGGUGCCCGACUGCCCGGACCCUGGGGUGUGGAGCUCUUGGGGCCCUUGGGAAGACUGCAGUGUUUCGUGUGGGGGCGGGGAGCAGCUGCGCUCCUGGCGCUGUGCUCGUCCUCCCUGCCCAGGGCCUGCCCGCCAGAGCCGCACGUGCAGCACACAGGUCUGCAGAGAGGCAGGCUGCCCGACUGGCCGCCUGUACCGUGAAUGCCAGCCCGGCGAGGGAUGCCCCUUCUCCUGCGCCCACGUCACGCAGCAGGUGGGCUGCUUCUCCGAGGGCUGCGAGGAGGGCUGCCACUGCCCCGAGGGCACCUUCCAGCACCGCCUGGCCUGUGUGCAGGAGUGCCCUUGUGUGCUGACAGCCUGGCUGCUGCAGGAGCUGGGAGCCACCAUAGGUGACCCUGGUCAGCCCCUCAGGCCUGGAGAUGAGCUGGACUCAGGCCAGACACUUCGUACAAGCUGUGGCAACUGCUCGUGUGCACACGGGAAGCUGUCUUGCUCCCUGGACGACUGCUUCGAGACCGAUGGUGGUUUCGGUCCCUGGAGCCCGUGGGGCCCGUGCUCCCGCUCCUGUGGAGGGCUGGGCACCCAUACCCGCAGCCGCCAGUGUGUGCUCACCAUGCCCACCCUCAGUGGUCAGGGCUGCCGUGGGCCCCACCAGGACCUCGAGUACUGCCCCAGCCCAGACUGCCCUGGGGCUGAAGGGUCCAUGGUGGAGCCAGUGACAGGCCUUCCAGGUGGCUGGGGCCCGUGGUCCUCCUGGUCCCCCUGCUCCAGAAGCUGCACGGACCCCGCUCGCCCUGCAUGGCGCAGCCGCAGCCGCCUCUGCCUGGCUAACUGCACCAUGGGGGACCCAUUACAGGAGCGCCCCUGCAACCUGCCCUCAUGCACAGAGCUGCCCGUGUGCCCUGGCCCUGGCUGUGGGGCUGGGAAAUGUUCCUGGACCUCCUGGGCCCCGUGGGAACCUUGCUCCCGCAGCUGCGGGGUGGGCCAGCAGCGCCGCCUGCGGGCAUACCAUCCCCCUGGGCCCGGCGGGCACUGGUGCCCCAACAUCCUUACUGCCUACCAAGAGCGCCGCUUCUGCAACCUGCGAGCCUGCCCAGUGCCCGGGGGCUGGUCACGCUGGAGUCCCUGGUCCUGGUGUGACCGCAGCUGUGGAGGAGGCCAAUCCCUGAGAAGCCGCAGCUGCUCAAGCCCCCCAUCCAAGAACGGGGGAGCCCCCCGUGCUGGGGAGCGGCACCAGGCCCGCCUCUGCAAUCCCAUGCCUUGUGAGGCCGGCUGCCCAGCAGGCAUGGAGGUGGUCACCUGUGCCAACCGCUGCCCCCGCCGCUGCUCAGACCUCCAGGAGGGAAUUGUGUGUCAGGACGACGAGGUCUGCCAGAAGGGCUGCCGCUGCCCAAAGGGGUCCCUGGAGCAGGAUGGUGGCUGUGUGCCAAUUGGGCACUGUGACUGCACCGAUGCCCAGGGCCACAGCUGGGCCCCGGGGAGCCAGCACCAGGAUGCCUGCAACAACUGCUCAUGCCAAGCUGGGUAGCUCUCCUGCACGGCUCAGCCCUGCCCGCCUCCCACCCACUGUGCCUGGAGCCGCUGGUCGGCCUGGAGUCCCUGCAGCCACUCAUGCGGGCCCGGAGGGCAGCAGAGCCGCUUCCGGUCCUCCACGUCGGGCUCGUGGGCCCCAGAGUGUCGGGAGGAGCAGUCCCAGAGCCAGCCCUGCCCUCAGCCCUCGUGCCCACCCCUGUGCCUGCAGGGCACUCGCUCCCGCACCCUGGGGGACAGCUGGCUGCAGGGGGAGUGCCAGCGGUGCUCCUGCACCGCGGAGGGUGUGAUCUGCGAAGACACGGAGUGUGCAGUGCCUGAGGCCUGGACGCUGUGGUCCUCCUGGUCCGACUGCCCUGUCUCCUGUGGAGGUGGAAACCAGGUCCGAACCCGGGCCUGCAGGGCCGCAGCCCCUCACCACAGGAGCCCACCCUGCCUGGGCCCUGACACCCAGACCCAGCCCUGCGGGCAGCAGCCUUGCCCAGGGCUGCUGGAGGCCUGCUCCUGGGGCCCGUGGGGGCCCUGUUCCCGCAGCUGCGGCCCAGGCCUGGCCUCUCGCUCUGGGUCCUGCCCCUGCCUGAUGGCCAAGGCCGACCCCACCUGCAACAGCACCUUCCUCCACCUGGACACCCAGGGCUGCUACCCAGGGCUCUGCCCAGAGGAGUGUGUGUGGAGCAGCUGGAGCAGCUGGACGCGCUGCUCUUGCCGGGUGCUGGUGCAGCAGCGCUACCGACACCAGGGCCCGGCGUCCCGAGGGGCCAGGGCAGGCGCCCCCUGCACGCGGCUGGAUGGCCACUUCCGGCCUUGCCUUAUCAGCAACUGCUCUGAGGACAGCUGCACACCUCCCUUUGAGUUCCAUGCCUGCGGCUCCCCCUGUGCUGGGCUGUGUGCCACACACCUGAGCCAUCAGCUCUGCCAGGACCUGCCACCCUGCCAGCCGGGCUGCUACUGCCCCAAGGGGCUGCUGGAGCAGGCUGGGGGCUGCAUUCCCCCGGAGGAGUGUAACUGCUGGCAUACCUCAGCAGCGGGAGCCGGGAUGACCCUGGCCCCUGGGGACCGCCUGCAGCUGGGCUGUAAGGAGUGUGAAUGCCGGCGUGGGGAGCUGCACUGCACCAGCCAGGGCUGUCAAGGUCUUCUGCCUCUGAGUGAGUGGUCUGAGUGGUCGCCCUGUGGGCCCUGCCUGCCGCCCAGCGCCCUGGCCCCUGCCUCCAGGACUGCCCUAGAGGAGCGCUGGCUCCGAGACCCAACUGGCCUCUCCCCCACCUCGGCCCCACUGCUGGCUUCAGAGCAGCACCGCCACCGGCUCUGUCUGGAUCCUGUGACAAGGAGGCCCUGGACUGGAGCGCCUCACCUCUGCACCGCACCCCUCAGCCAGCAGCGCCUCUGCCCUGACCCUGGAGCCUGCCCUGACUCAUGCCAGUGGAGUCUGUGGGGGCCAUGGAGCCCCUGCCAGGUGCCCUGCAGUGGGGGGUUCAGGCUACGCUGGAGAGAGGCAGAGGCCCUCCGUGGAGGAGGCUGCCAGGGGCCAUGGGCUCAGACAGAAAGCUGCAACAGAGGGCCCUGCCCAGGUGAGAGCUGCGAGGCCCAAGACACUGUAUUCACCCUGGACUGUGCCAACCAGUGCCCACGCAGCUGUGCCGACCUCUGGGACCGCGUUCAGUGCCUGCAGGGACCCUGCCGCCCAGGCUGCCGCUGUCCCCCUGGCCAGCUGGUCCAGGAUGGGCGCUGUGUGCCGAUCUCCUCUUGCCGCUGUGGCCUCCCCAGUGCCAAUGCCUCUUGGGAGCUGGCCCCGGCCCAGGCAGUGCAGCUGGACUGCCAAAACUGCACCUGUGUCAACGGGUCCCUGGUGUGCCCACACCAGGAGUGUCCAGUCCUUGGGCCUUGGUCAGCCUGGAGCAGUUGCUCGGCCCCCUGUGGUGGGGGCCCUAUGGAGCGACAUCGGACCUGCGAGGGGGGUCCUGGGGUGGCACCAUGCCAGGCCCAGGACACAGAGCAACGGCAGGAGUGUAACCUGCAGCCCUGCCCUGAGUGCCCCCCUGGCCAGGUGCUUAGCACCUGUGCCACCUCAUGCCCGCGCCUCUGCUGGCAUCUGCAGCCUGGUGCCAUCUGUGUGCAGGAGCCCUGCCAGCCUGGCUGUGGCUGCUCUGGAGGGCAGCUGCUGCACAAUGGCACGUGUGUGCCUCCCACUGCCUGCCCCUGCACCCAGCAUUCUCUGCCCUGGGGCCUCACCCUGACCCUGGAAGAGCAGGCCCAGGAGCUACCCCCAGGGACUGUGCUCACCCGGAACUGCACCCGCUGUGUCUGCCACGGUGGAGCCUUCAGCUACUCCCUCAUUGACUGUCAGGAGUGCCCCCCUGGGGAAAUGUGGCAGCAGGUGGCCCCGGGGAGCUGGGGCUCUGCGAGCAGACGUGCCUGGAGAUGAAUGCCACAGAGACCCAGAGUAACUGCAGUUCAGCUCGAGCCUCGGGCUGCGUGUGCCAGCCCGGGCACUUCCGCAGCCAGGCAGGCCCCUGCGUCCCCGAAGACCACUGCGAGUGCUGGCACCUCGGGCAUCCCCACCUGCCUGGAUCUGAAUGGCAGGAGGCCUGUGAGAGCUGCCUCUGCCUCAGUGGGAGGCCUGUCUGCACCCAGCACUGCUCCCCACUCACCUGUGCUCAGGGCGAGGAGAUGGUGCUGGAGCCAGGGAGCUGCUGUCCCUCUUGCCGCAGGGAGGCUCCGGAGGAGCAGUCGCCCUCCUGCCAGCUCCUCACGGAGCUUCGAAACUUCACCAAAGGGACCUGUUACCUGGACCAGGUAGAAGUGAGCUACUGCAGUGGGUACUGCCCAUCCAGCACCCAUGUCAUGCCAGAGGAGCCAUACCUGCAGAGCCAGUGUGACUGCUGCAGCUACCGUCUAGACCCGGAGAGCCCUGUGCGGAUCCUGAACCUGCGCUGUCUGGGUGGCCACACAGAGCCCGUGGUGCUGCCGGUCAUCCACAGCUGCCAGUGCAGCUCCUGCCAGGGAGGUGACUUCUCAAAGCGCUAACAGGCUCCGCUGGGUGAGUCCACAGCUGUCCCUCUUGUGAUCAUGGGACUCAGCAGCACUGACCACGUCCUUCCACGCUCUCUCACCUGCCCCCAACUGGGGGCCCAUGACUUGGCAUUAGCAUGUUCCAAAUAAAGUGAUACU